rnacentral:rRNA from 1 species
ACCCGCUGAACUUAAGCAUAUCAAUAAGCGGAGGAAAAGAAACCAACAGGGAUUGCCCUAGUAACGGCGAGUGAAGCGGCAACAGCUCAAAUUUGAAAUCUGGCGUCUUUGGCGUCCGAGUUGUAAUUUGCAGAGGGCGCUUUGGCAUCGGCAGCGGUCCAAGUUCCUUGGAACAGGACGUCACAGAGGGUGAGAAUCCCGUACGUGAUCGCUAGCCUUUACCGUGUAAAGCCCCUUCGACGAGUCGAGUUGUUUGGGAAUGCAGCUCUAAAUGGGAGGUAAAUUUCUUCUAAAGCUAAAUACUGGCCAGAGACCGAUAGCGCACAAGUAGAGUGAUCGAAAGAUGAAAAGCACUUUGGAAAGAGAGUUAAAAAGCACGUGAAAUUGUUGAAAGGGAAGCGCUUGCAGCCAGACUUGCCUGUAGUUGCUCAUCCGGGUUUCUACCCGGUGCACUCUUCUAUAGGCAGGCCAGCAUCAGUUUGGGCGGUUGGAUAAAGGUCUCUGUCAUGUACCUCUCUUCGGGGAGAACUUAUAGGGGAGACGACAUGCAACCAGCCCGGACUGAGGUCCGCGCAUCUGCUAGGAUGCUGGCGUAAUGGCUGU